rnacentral:misc_RNA from 1 species
GAUGAAGAACGCAGCGAAAUGCGAUACGUAGUGUGAAUUGCAGAAUUCAGUGAAUCAUCGAAUCUUUGAACGCACAUUGCACCUCUCGGUAUUCCGGGAGGUAUGCCUGUUCGAGCGUCAUUUGUACCCUCAAGCUCUGCUUGGUGUUGGGUGUUUGUUCCGCCUCUGUGUGUGAACUCGCCUCAAAACAAUUGGCAGCCGGCGUACUUGUUUCGGAGCGCAGCACAUUUUGCGAUCCAGAUCAACGUACAGCGGCAUCCAAGAAGCCUUAUUUAACGCUCUUGACCUCGGAUCAGGUAGGGAUACCCGCUGAACUUAAGCAUAUCAAUAGCGGAGGA